AUUGAACGCUGGCGGCAGGCCUAACACAUGCAAGUCGAGCGAGCGGCGGACGGGUGAGUAAUGUCUGGGGAUCUGCCCGAUAGAGGGGGAUAACUACUGGAAACGGUAGCUAAUACCGCAUACUAUUGUAUGUGCCCAAAGGGGAUUAGCUGGGUGGUGGGGUAACGGAUCACCAAGGCGACGAUCCCUAGCUGGUCUGAGAGGAUGACCAGCCACACUGGGACUGAGACACGGGCCAGACUCCUACGGGAGGCAGCCGUGGGGAAUAUUGCACAAUGGGCGCAAGCCUGAUGCAGCCAUGCCGCGUGUAUGAAGAAGGCCUUCGGGUUGUAAAGUACUUUCAGCGGGGAGGCGUUACCCGCAGAAGAAGCACCGGCUAACUCCGUGCCAGCAGCCGCGGUAAUUC
rnacentral:rRNA from 1 species